rnacentral:rRNA from 1 species
UAACACAUGCAAGUCGAGCGGUAGCACAGAGAGCUUGCUCUCGGGUGACGAGCGGCGGACGGGUGAGUAAUGUCUGGGAAACUGCCUGAUGGAGGGGGAUAACUACUGGAAACGGUAGCUAAUACCGCAUAACGUCGCAAGACCAAAGUGGGGGACCUUCGGGCCUCAUGCCAUCAGAUGUGCCCAGAUGGGAUUAGCUAGUAGGUGGGGUAACGGCUCACCUAGGCGACGAUCCCUAGCUGGUCUGAGAGGAUGACCAGCCACACUGGAACUGAGACACGGUCCAGACUCCUACGGGAGGCAGCAGUGGGGAAUAUUGCACAAUGGGCGCAAGCCUGAUGCAGCCAUGCCGCGUGUGUGAAGAAGGCCUUCGGGUUGUAAANGCCACUUUUCCAGCGCGGGGGAGGGAAGGCGGGGUUAAGGGUUUAAUUAACCUUCGUUCGGAUUGGACGUUUACCCCGCAAGAAAGAAAGCAACCCGGCCUAAACUUCCGGUGCCAAGCAGGCCGGCGGGUAAUUACCGGAGGGGUGCCAAGCGGUUUAAUCGGGAAUUUACUGGGGCGUAAAAGCGCCACGCAAGGCGGUUCUGUCAAAGUCGGGAUGUGAAAUCCCCCGGGGCUCAACCUGGGGAACUGCAUUCGAAACUGGCAGGCUAGAGUCUUGUAGAGGGGGGGUAGAAUUCCAGGUGUAGCGGUGAAAUGCGUAGAGAUCUGGAGGAAUACCGGUGGCGAAGGCGGCCCCCUGGACAAAGACUGACGCUCAGGUGCGAAAGCGUGGGGAGCAAACAGGAUUAGAUACCCUGGUAGUCCACGCCGUAAACGAUGUCGAUUUGGAGGUUGUGCCCUUGAGGCGUGGCUUCCGGAGCUAACGCGUUAAAUCGACCGCCUGGGGAGUACGGCCGCAAGGUUAAAACUCAAAUGAAUUGACGGGGGCCCGCACAAGCGGUGGAGCAUGUGGUUUAAUUCGAUGCAACGCGAAGAACCUUACCUGGUCUUGACAUCCACAGAACUUUCCAGAAAUGGAUUGGUGCCUUCGGGAACUGUGAAACAGGUGCUGCAUGCCUGUCGUCAGCUCGUGUUGUGAAAUGUUGGGUUAAGUCCCGCAACGAGCGCAACCCUUAUCCUUUGUUGCCAGCGGUUAGGCCGGGAACUCAAAGGAGACUGCCAGUGAUAAACUGGAGGAAGGUGGGGAUGACGUCAAGUCAUCAUGGCCCUUACGACCAGGGCUACACACGUGCUACAAUGGCAUAUACAAAGAGAAGCGACCUCGCGAGAGCAAGCGGACCUCAUAAAGUAUGUCGUAGUCCGGAUUGGAGUCUGCAACUCGACUCCAUGAAGUCGGAAUCGCUAGUAAUCGUAGAUCAGAAUGCUACGGUGAAUACGUUCCCGGGCCUUGUACACACCGCCCGUCACACCAUGGGAGUGGGUUGCAAAAGAAGUAGGUAGCUUAACCUUCGGGAGG